rnacentral:misc_RNA from 1 species
GAGGCGGCGGCAGAGGAGGCGGCGGCUACCAAAAUGGGCGCAGCCAAUAUUAUGAGCAGUCUGGAAACUAUUAUCCGAGGAAUUACUAUAAUAAUCGAGGAAGGGGUGGCAGGGGUGGUGGUGGGCACCCUUAUAAUAACCAUGGCUCAGCAGUUCAGGGUGGUCAUGGCCCAGUUGAUGUUGGGGUGGCCUCAUGACGUCAUUACUUAUUGGGUGUUUAUAGGGUGUCGUGUUACUAGUUUUCUAGGUGGGUAGUGAAAAUGUUCUCUCUCCCCUCUUUUUGGCAUGAGAAACUUGUCAUGAAU